CCUACGGGAGGCAGCAGUGAGGAAUAUUGGUCAAUGGCCGAGAGACUGAACCAGCCAAGUCGCGUGAGGGAAGAAUGUCCUAUGGAUUGUAAACCUCUUUUGUCAGGGGGCAAAGUCACCCACGUGUGGGGGUUGGAGGGUACCUGAAGAAAAAGCAUCGGCUAACUCCGUGCCAGCAGCCGCGGUAAUACGGAGGAUGCGAGCGUUAUCCGGAUUUAUUGGGUUUAAAGGGUGCGUAGGCGGGUUAUCAAGUCAGCGGUAAAAUCGUGGAGCUCAACUCCAUACAGCCGUGGAAACUGAGGAGCUUGAGUGGGCGAGAAGUAUGCGGAAUGCGUGGUGUAGCGGUGAAAUGCAUAGAUAUCACGCAGAACUCCGAUUGCGAAGGCAGCAUACCGGCGCCCGACUGACGCUGAAGCACGAAAGCGCGGGUAUCGAACAGGAUUAGAUACCCCAGUAGUC
rnacentral:rRNA from 1 species